UCUUAUGAAUGAGCAAUGAAAGUGGUUUUUAAGAUAGAAUCUACUCCUAGUAAAGAUGCUAUGAA
rnacentral:pre_miRNA from 1 species